GCCGGGGUGGUGUAGCCUGGUCUAGCACACGGGACUGUGGAUCCCGUAGCCCGGGUUCAAAUCCCGGCCCCGGCCCCA
rnacentral:tRNA from 1 species